rnacentral:rRNA from 1 species
GUCUAUGGCCAUGCCACCCUGAACAAGCCUGAUCCCGUCUGAUCUUGGAAGCUAAGCAAGGUCAGGCCUGGUUAGUACUUGAAUGGGAGACCACCUAGGAAGACCAGGUGCUAUAGGCA